GGAAAAUUAUCUGGAAAUUGAAAGUCCUCCAGGCAAAGGUCUGGCUGUGAUAUUACUUCUGGGAGACACUUCUCACAAGAGGGAAGAUAAGUGUACUGUGAGACCACAGAUCCCUGUUCCUGGGGAGAAUGCACCAGGGAAUACAAGAAAGGGAUGCUGGUUUUUCCUCGGCUAAUAGCCAUUUGCAAUAGGGUCAAGAUUUAUGCCAGCUGGAAUCUCACAGGAUAUCAGUCACAUUGCUUUCUUCUAAGCAAUUGCUUACCCUUACAAGAAAAGGAGCAGGAACAUUGAAAGGAAAAUGACAUAUUUAGCUUAGGGUUCUGCAUGACAAAUGGCUCUUGAUAACCUUCCCCGUCAAUUCUGGGAGAGUAGACAAAAGCAAAGAAAACAAAUUGACUACAGACAUCGACAUUCAUCCUACCUGAAGAGAGAACCAGUCUGUGUGAAAAAUGGAGUAAACUUCAAAAGAAUCCAGCAAUUGCCCUGAACUGACCCAUAAACAGAAAUUAGAAAUCGAAAGUUGAAAAUUAGGAAGCUCAAGAGUGAAUCUGAGGACUGAUGUGCUCCACACAUUACCUUCAAGACUGUUUAGUUUAAACAAAGUAUAGCUCAUUUCAUUAAAUGACAAUGGUUGGAUUCUGCUUCAUUAGUAGUCAAUCUCAAUGAAUCUGUUCCACAUAUUACCUUCAAGGUUAUUUACUUUUUCUUCUCCAGGACACACAGUGCUUAGAAAAAUAAAAGAGAAAAGCCACCAAGCUUACCAUUUCAACCAAGGAUAAAUAUAAGAACAUCCCAGCAGUGACUGUGAAGAUCCAGUCUUGAACACAUGGAUCAGCUGACACGGAAAGGCCAAUGUAUAACCCCAUGAAGGCAGUUAGGGAGCUUACAAAAUUCAUCAGGAUGGCAGUCUUCAUAGAAAGUCCAGAGCUUAAGAGCACGGCAAAGUCUCCUGAAGUUUAAGAGGAAAGGAAAAUAUAAUUAUCGUUUAAUGGAAGAUGCCUUUGCUAAAGUAACGCACUAUUAGCUAUUUCGAAUGUCAGCACUGGAACCAAUUUUAUAGGUAGAGUUGAGUGAUCAGUAAAUAAAAUGCUUUCCUAUAUUUCUCUAGAAUUCAUAGCCCAUUCAUCGUACUAUUAGGAAGUUGCAUUUCAAGAGUUCCAUUCCUUUGGCUGCUCCUAAAGAUUGUAUCUACAGAGAGGUCUGUGACAUAUUCUUGAGUUCUUGAUAUCCUGUGACAUUUCCAACUUAGAUAAAUGCAAAAUAGUCACUCACUGUCCCAGGAUUUCUAAAUCUUUGGGCCUGGAAAUUUGCCAGGUGAAAUCAUGACACUAUAUGGGCUUUUAUUAUUUACUUAUGCAGAAACUGCUGUGGGGAGAGAAAACUACUUAAUAUGAGAUUUUUAAAGCAUUGCAAAAGUCGGUUAGGAAACAAAUUUUUCCCUUUAGAAAAUGAUUAUAGGAAAAUGAUCUCAUUCUCUCCAUGCCUUCCCUCCAAGAGAAGAUUGACCUGUUAGUAAAUCUGAUAACAUCUACUUCUUAGUUUGGGGGAUUGAGACUAAAAUUCAAUAGACAGCUUGGGGACCCAGUUUUCUAGUUCCAUUGCAUAACUGUUCCCAUGAACGGGGCUUGAAACAUCUCUGCUGGCCUGCUGCAGACUGUCACACUGCCCUGUGGUUUUGGGUUGAGGACUGGGGGCUACAUCCCUGUUACAGUAGCAAAACUCAGGACCAUAGAUAGGGGAUGGCUUCCAGAACCAGGUGCAUUUUAAUGCGCCCAGGAAGGACCUUGGAUAAACAGCUCCAAGAAGGAUAGGUCAAUAAUGAGUCAGUGUCAGGACUUUGAGCAACGGACUCCAAGCACAAGAGGGCAAGAGUUUCCUGGGGGCAAUGUAGGUGCAAAAGUGGAAGCAGAGAGACUGUGAAGAGCCCUCUCCCUUGGGAGCCUAUGCCAGACCAGCCUCUACUAUUUCUGGGUCUGUUUCAGAAAUGUCUGUUCUAACCCAUCUUGCGUCCUGGGAGGCAAAGAAUAGGGCUAUA
rnacentral:lncRNA from 1 species